rnacentral:lncRNA from 1 species
UGCAACCCGAGGCAAGCGUCGAAAGGUCGGAGCAGAUCGCCGAUUCGUCGGAACCUCCGGGGAGCAGAGCUCGAGCUUCCGGCAUCCGUACCGACCACGACGGCGAAAAUGGAGGAGAGACAAACGACGAGCUCGAUGGCGCCGGCGACGGCGACGGCGACGGCGGCGAAGCCGAAGACGGGGACGACGAAGCAGAAGCGCGCGCGCUCGGGGUUCUGGAGAUGGCUCGUCGCGUCGGUCGCGUUCCGGCUCGCCCUCGUCUACCUCCCCAGGAACCUCCGCCUGUCCACCC